rnacentral:lncRNA from 1 species
UCACCGAGUAGGUGCCAAGGAAUCUAUAGUCCGCAGCGGCCAUCAGCGCCCAGGUACCGUGUGCUGCAACACCUGCCUGGCCAGCCCCGCGCCUGGGGCGGGGCUUCCCGCGUCCCCUUUAAGAGGCCGCAUCACCCGCCCCUGACGUCAGGGUGUCUCUCCGCACGAGCCCGCGUCCGGCUCCGCUCCGCGCCCCCGCGCCCACAGCCCCGGCGGCUGCACGACGAGCGGCGGCCUGGCGACGGUGUCGCCCCGCUGAGUCCACCGGUCCCGCUCCAUCGCCGUCUCGUUUCCGUACCCGCAGCUGCCCCGCCGGCGCGACCUCUUGCACCAUGUCGGUGGCCGGGCUUAAGAAGCAAUUCCACAAAGCCACUCAGCCAAAUCGUGAGGUCGUGUGUCACGCUAAAAUUUGGGAUAAAAAAGUUGGAUUACAAUAUGUAUGAACUUUUACAUGGUUGGAGGAGGUCUGCUUGUGGUAAGAUUAGCAUUUUAUCAUACUGAAUCCAAAUGAGGAACUACUGCAUUAUUUUCUUUUGCUGAAAAGUCUUUUAUUUCAAAAUUGAAGCAACAUAGUCUCUUGUUCAUAGCUUAAUGUAGAACUGUAGAAAACUUAAGGCAGAGAUUACUCUUUUCAUACAUGUAUGUGUAUUUUGGAGGGUAUGUAAAGGGAGUGUUAAUGUUUGUAUGUGACAAAGAUAUUAGGGAAACAGUUGUGUCUUAUUUUUGUAAGACAUUUUUCCCAUAUAGGUUCAUGAACCUGAUCUUAUCUACCAAGGAAGCUUUAGACCUAGAAUUAUUUUCUUUUGAGAACUGGCAUGCUGAAUUAUGUAACCUGUGUGUAUAAAUAGAAGGCAAACAUUUUUAAUUUUUACAGAACUGAGAUUUUUGCUUAUGCUAAUGAGGGUAGUAUUUGUAUUAAUAAAGCAGUGUACUUUUAGUGUUUGAAAUAUUAAUUUGGAAUUUGUUUACUAAAAUGUGUCAUAAC